ensembl:lncRNA
CAAGGAAGUAAAUAUAUUAUUUCCGAUGUGGACUAGACAUGAAGAAAUAUACAAAGGGAGAACCGUAAACAGAAACUGGGAGGAAUUUUCAACGGAUAAAGAUCAAGAAAAAAAUCGUGAUUUGAUGAAAGGAUUUUUUUUAAACUAGUUCUUGUGAAUGAGUGUGAGCGUAUAUUAUAGAUCCUUUAUUCCAAAAUACAGCUCGAGUGUUAACGCUGAACAAUACAACGCUUAAUUCUUUAAUCUUCUUAUUAUUAUUUAUUUAUUUAUUUUUACAAACACCUGUGUAAACACAUUCAUCAAAGACUUUUGUCACGCUGAGUCUGGAAUGUUCUGCUCCACUUCCAGUAAAGUGAAGUCGACUUAUUUCUGGAAUGUCACAGAACUCACUCCUGUGCUGUACAGUAGUCUCGUUUAGACCCAUUCCCUGGAUCGGUUGUUGUUUUGGACGUUAACCAGCCUCAGCCUGUUAACCCCGCCCACAUUACAUCUCUAAUUCAGUUCGAUUUCCUGGUCUGCAUUUUGCCGUUAGUGCGGCUGAUUUAAUCUGGUGGUCCUUUUAAGAUUUUAGCGUUCAUGAUGAUGUCGGAGGCCACAUGACAAUGCCAACAUGGCGGAUGUAGAAUGUCUGGGAUUUUAUUCAUACCACACACACAUACACACAUACUUGGUACGUACAUCUUUAAGAAGGUGUGUAAUGAGACUGACAAACAAAAAGGCGCAGGAGUGCAUGGUCACGUUUAUUAACCCGAAUACUGGGUAUUCACGUGGCAGGAACAUAAACUGUGGGUGUGAAAAGUACCAUUUGACGCUUCGAAGAAUCAUAUAGGGUUAGGGUUAGGGGUUAGGGUUAAGGUUAGGGUUAGGGUUAAGGUUAGGGAUAGGGUUAAGGUUAGGGUUGGGGUUAAGGUUAGGGUUGGGGUUAAGGUUUAGGGUUGGGGUUGGGGUUAAGGUUAGGGUUAGGGUUGGGGUUAAGGUUAGGGUUAGGGUUGGGGUUAAGGUUAG